rnacentral:rRNA from 1 species
GGAUUGCCUCAGUAACGGCGAGUGAAGCGGCAAAAGCUCAAAUUUGAAAUCCCCAGGGAAUUGUAAUUUGAAGGUGGAGUCAACAAAAGAGUGGCCCUAAAGUUCAUUGGAAAAUGACGCCAAAGAGGGUGAUAGCCCCGUUAUGGACCCACUCUAUAUACUUUUCUCCUCCCAAGAGUCGAGUUGUUUGGGAAUGCAGCUCUAAGUGGGUGGUAAAUUCCAUCUAAAGCUAAAUAUUGGCGAGAGACCGAUAGCGAACAAGUACAGUGAUGGAAAGAUGAAAAGCACUUUGAAAAGAGAGUGAAAAAGUACGUGAAAUUGUUGAAAGGGAAGGGCUUGUACUUAGACACAACCUCGGUUGGGCCAGCGUCGGGAAGGGGAGGGGGAAAAAGAGGGGGGAAAGUAGCUUUCGAGUGAUAUAUCCCUCCUUUACAYCCCUACUCUUUCCCGAGGCCUGCGUAUCUAGGACGCUGGCYRAACGRGUACAAGUCGCCCGUCUUGAAACACGGACCAAGGAGUCUAACGUCUAUGCAAGUAUUUGGGCCYAAACCCAUCUGCGCAAUGAAAGUAAUAGGAGCAACCGUUUGGCCAGCUCCGACCACCUCCAGACUUCGUCUGGAGGUGAGUAAGCAUACCCGUUGGGACCCGAAAGAUGGUGAACUAUACCUGGAUAGGGUGAAGCCAGAGGAAACUCUGGUGGAGGCUCGUAGCGGUUCUGACGUGCAAAUCGAUCGUCGAAUCUGGGUAUAGGGGCGAAAGACUAAUCGAAC